ACGUAGGGGACAAGCGUUAUCCGGAUUUACUGGGUGUAAAGGGAGCGUAGACGGAUGGACAAGUCUGAUGUGAAAGGCUGGGGCUCAACCCCGGGACUGCAUUGGAAACUGCCCGUCUUGAGUGCCGGAGAGGUAAGCGGAAUUCCUAGUGUAGCGGUGAAAUGCGUAGAUAUUAGGAGGAACACCAGUGGCGAAGGCGGCUUACUGGACGGUAACUGACGUUGAGGCUCGAAAGCGUGGGGAGCAAACAG
rnacentral:rRNA from 1 species